rnacentral:rRNA from 1 species
AUUGAACGCUGGCGGAAUGCUUUACACAUGCAAGUCGAACGGUAGAGGGGGCAACCCCUCGAGAGUGGCGAACGGGUGAGUAAUAUAUCGGAACGUGCCCAGUCGUGGGGGAUAACGUAGUGAAAGUUACGCUAAUACCGCAUACGAUCUAAGGAUGAAAGCGGGGGAUCGCAAGACCUCGCGCGAUUGGAGCGGCCGAUAUCAGAUUGGGUAGUUGGUGGGGUAAAGGCUCACCAAGCCAACGAUCUGUAGCUGGUCUGAGAGGACGACCAGCCCAACUGGAACUGAGACACGGGCCAGACUCCUACGGGAGGCAGCAGUGGGGAAUGUUGGACAAUGGACGCAAGUCUGAUCCAGCCAUUCCGCGUGCAGGAUGAAGGACCUCGGGUUGUAAACUGCUUUUGUACGGAACGAAAAGGUCUCUCUUAAUACGGGGGACUCAUGACGGUACCGUAAGAAUAAGCACCGGCUAACUACGUGCCAGCAGCCGCGGUAA